AUACGUAGGGAGCGAGCGUUGUCCGGAAUUACUGGGUGUAAAGGGUGCGUAGGCGGGAUGGCAAGUCAGAUGUGAAAUGCCGGGGCUCAACCCCGGAGCUGCAUUUGAAACUGUCGUUCUUGAGUGAGGUAGAGGUAAGCGGAAUUCCUAGUGGAGCGGUGAAAUGCGUAGAUAUUAGGAGGAACAUCGGUGGCGAAGGCGGCUUACUGGGCCUUUACUGACGCUGAGGCACGAAAGCGUGGGGAGCAAACAGGAUUAGAUACCCUGGUAGUCCACGCUGUAAACGAUGAUGACUAGGUGUGGGGGGACUGAACCCUUCCGUGCCGCAGUAAACACAAUAAGUCAUCCACCUGGGGAGUACGGCCGCAAGGUUGAAACUCAAAUGAAUUGACGGGG
rnacentral:rRNA from 1 species